rnacentral:rRNA from 1 species
UACAGAGGGUGCAAGCGUUAAUCGGAAUUACUGGGCGUAAAGCGCACGCAGGCGGUCUGUUAAGUCAGAUGUGAAAUCCCCGGGCUUAACCUGGGAACUGCAUUUGAAACUGGCAAGCUUGAGUCUUGUAGAGGGGGGUAGAAUUCCAGGUGUAGCGGUGAAAUGCGUAGAGAUCUGGAGGAAUACCGGUGGCGAAGGCGGCCCCCUGGACAAAGACUGACGCUCAGGUGCGAAAGCGUGGGGAGCAAACAGG